rnacentral:rRNA from 1 species
UACGGGGGGGGCAAGCGUUGUUCGGAAUUACUGGGCGUAAAGGGCUCGUAGGCGGCCAACUAAGUCGGAUGUGAAAUCCCCAGGCUCAACCUGGGAACUGCAUCCGAUACUGGAUGGCUUGAAUUCGGGAGAGGGAUGCAGAAUUCCAGGUGUAGCGGUGAAAUGCGUAGAUAUCUGGGGGAAUACCGGUGGCGAAGGCGGCAUCCUGGACCGACAUUGACGCUGAGGAGCGAAAGCCAGGGGAGCAAACGGG